GUGCGAGCAGUGCGACAGCCGGCCCCUGGCCCCCCGGAUCCAGCCGGGGGGGGGGGGCACAUGCCGUGCAGUUGGGGAAGGCAACAGGCCUCCACGGAUGUCUCCCACUGCCACGUUCGGCCGAGCCACAGCCGCGGGACCCGGCAGCAUCAUCUCCCACACACCCCUCGAAGCCACGAGUGGGAAAACUCCCCAUUAUUUAGGAAACUUUUGGAAGUUUGAGGCCAGAGCCAUCUCCAGAACAAACAAAUGAAGGCAGGCAACAGCGGGCCAUGGAGCUGCGGUGAUCCCAGCGCUGGCCAUCAACCAGGGACCCCAGUACGAGCCGGCCGGGACCUGCCGGAGCAGCCCGGAGGGUGGAGAGCGAGAAGGAAGAGGAGAUCCCAGAUCGGAAUCUUCUCGCUCUCACCCUCCCACAAGUCCAAAUUCCCAUCUCAAGGUCACGGGCAAAACCAGGAACUUUGCGGUUGGAAGGCAGAAAGCCAGCUCUCACCGUGGCGCGGCGUGGGGUUGGUCCACCGUGGGGGAGAUGUUUCGGACAUCUUUGGGGAAUUUCUGCUGUGGCAUUGAUGUCUGUCUGUGCCGGGACACACCACCAGGCUGUGUCAUACAGGGAGGUUGUGAUGGACGGGGGAGGUUGUGGACAUCCCUCAGGAAUCUGGGGGGCCAGCUAGGAAGCGUGGCGAUUCCCAAGGCUCCAGCAGAGUGGCUUGACGAGCGAGUGGAGGAGGUUCAGCUCCGUUCUGGGCCCUCUGGGAGGGAAGCCGAGCAGGAGCAGCCCUCAGGGGCAGGGACAGAGGGUGGCACCGGGUGCCUGGAGCCUUUCCCACCCCAGGACCCGCGUGGAUCCGGGAUGAGGGGCCAGGUCCCCUGAGCAGCGCGGGGGCACUUCGCCCUCUGGUGGCGGGAAGGGGGAAGAGCGGCGAGGUGGCACCGGGGCUGUCCCCGAGCUGUCCCCGGGGGUGACGCGGCGGUUCCCUAGGGCAGCAGAACGGGUGACAUUUUAUUCCCAAAACAAAGCGCGAACAAUAGUUACUGCGGGAGAGACAACAGACCCAAACCUGGUCUGAGAUUCUCGGUGGAAGAUAAAUAAAAGCACACAAAUAAGCAAUAAA